rnacentral:rRNA from 1 species
GAUGAACGCUGGCGGCGUGCUUAACACAUGCAAGUCGAACGAAGCACUUUAUUUGAUGUCCUUCGGGACUGAGUAUUUUGUGAGUGAGUGGCGGACGUAUGAGUAACUCGAGUGUAAGCUGCCUUGUACAGGGUGAUAACAGUUGGAGACGGCUGCUAAUACCGCAUAAUCGCACAGCAUCGCAUGAUGCAGUGGGAAAAGCUCCGGUGGUAUAAGAUGGAGCCGCGUUGGAUUAGCUAUUUGGUGGGGUAACGGCAAAGCAAGGCCACGAUCCAUACCCGACAUGGUAGGGUGACACGCUACAUUUGGACUGAGGCCCGGACCACACUCGUACGGGAGGCAGCAGUGGGGAAUAUUGCAGGAUGAAGGCAAGCGUGAUGCAGCGACGCCGGGUGUGCGGAGAAGUAUUUUGGUAUGUAAUGCUCUCUGAGAAGGGAAGAUAGUGACGGUAACUGACAAAGAAGCACCGGCUAAAUACGUG